rnacentral:tRNA from 5 species
GCGAGCGUGGUUCAGUGGUAAAAC